rnacentral:lncRNA from 1 species
GGCCCCGGCGGCGCGGGCAGCGGAGGGGGCCGGCCACAGCCGUCGGCCGCGGCGCGCAUGCGUGCGGACCUGAUCCGCCGUGCGGGUGCGAGGUCCGCGCUUCCGCCCGAAGACGCUGCUGCCGAGCGGGGCCCGCAUCCACAAAAGCUCGCCUCCAUCUUUCGAUUGUCCGAAAGCAGCUUGUCAAUGUAGACAAGCGAAGCAUUCCGAGGUCGUCGCGGUGGCGGGGCGCUUAGGCCCUAGAGGAAUGCUGAAGUGCCUCCCAGGAACCAUGGUCCAUAUGAGGCUAGAGGGAUGGACAGCCCAGGUUGGCAAAGGAGCCUACAGCUAGUUGGUACCAAGUCAUCAGGCCCCUGAGAUCCAGGCUGGGCCAGAUCAACAUGGAAGAGCCCUCAAGCUGUCCUGCAAUGACCAGUGUGCACUUGGGUGGGAGAUCAGACAGUGCACUCUCAGUGGAUCCCACAGGGAAGAAGACCCAGAAAGAAGCACUGAGACGAUGCUAGGAUGACACUUAAGCCUCUCCCCCUCCCACUGCCCACACUGGAAUCCUGACCAGAGGAGCACAGGGAAAUAAUCCUAAUCAACUGGGAAUUACCCACCCCCACCCCCAAACUGAGUUUUAAGCUACAGGUGACUGCAUUCUCUUAAUUUCACAAGAUUAAGUUUUCCAUUACAAGUGGAAGCACAUUCGUUAAAACUGCUGCUACAUUGUGUCUCUGAAGAAAUCCAAUAAAAAUUCCAGUGGCAAGCUGGCCUUUCUGCAGAAUGGCUUCCCCAUGGAGCAACCUGAAGGGGAUGGCCCCUGUUCCCGAAGGUGAUUACAGAAGCAAGCAGAGGAUUAAGGAAGCACUCGGUAUGAAGGUCUGCCUGUGGAGUACAGAGGUGAACUUGAGAAUCUUGGAUUUGAGUCUCAUUCUUGUCAAGGUCUAUUACUGCCACCAACAGACACUGCCGCCCCACUACCACUCAACAUGUGAGAUGUCGAGUAAGUCAACACACAGAAAUCAGUUUGGGAAGAAAUCCCAUAUCCCAAGAUG